GAUGAAGAACGCAGCGAAAUGCGAUAAGUAAUGUGAAUUGCAGAAUUCAGUGAAUCAUCGAAUCUUUGAACGCAUCUUGCGCUCCUUGGUAUUCCGAGGAGCAUGCCUGUUUGAGUGUCAUUUAACUUCUCAACCACAUUGGAUAUUUUUUUUCCGAUGCCGGCUUGGAUGUGGGGGUUGUUUGCAGGCUUUUUGUAACAAAAAAGGUCGGCUCCCCUGAAAUGUAUUAGUGGUAUCUGAGGCUAUUACUAUUAGGUGUGAUAAUUAUCUAUGCCUUUCGGGUAUGCCGCAUGAACAGAUUAUGCUGCUUCUAACGAAAACUAUUUUGAUGAAUUUGACCUCAAAUCAGGUAGGACUACCCGCUGAACUUAAGCAUAUCAAUAAGCGGAGGA
rnacentral:misc_RNA from 1 species